ACCUGGCUGGCUCAGUCCGUGUGGAGCAUGAGACUCUUGAUCUCAGGGUCGUGAGUUCAAGCCCCAUGGUGGGUG
rnacentral:tRNA from 1 species